rnacentral:rRNA from 1 species
GACGAACGCCGGCGGCGUGCUUAACACAUGCAAGUCGAACGGAAAGGCCCUGCUUUUGUGGGGUGCUCGAGUGGCGAACGGGUGAGUAACACGUGAGUAACCUGCCCUUGACUUUGGGAUAACUUCAGGAAACUGGGGCUAAUACCGGAUAGGAGCUCCUACUGCAUGGUGGGGGUUGGAAAGUUUCGGCGGUUGGAGAUGGACUCGCGGCUUAUCAGCUUGUUGGUGGGGUAGUGGCUUACCAAGGCUUUGACGGGUAGCCGGCCUGAGAGGGUGACCGGCCACAUUGGGACUGAGAUACGGCCCAGACUCCUACGGGAGGCAGCAGUGGGGAAUAUUGCACAAUGGGCGGAAGCCUGAUGCAGCAACGCCGCGUGCGGGAUGACGGCCUUCGGGUUGUAAACCGCUUUCGCCUGUGACGAAGCGUGAGUGACGGUAAUGGGUAAAGAAGCACCGGCUAACUACGUG